rnacentral:rRNA from 1 species
UACGGAGGGUGCAAGCGUUAAUCGGAAUUACUGGGCGUAAAGCGCGCGUAGGUGGUUUGAUAAGCGAGAUGUGAAAGCCCGGGCUUAACUGGUGAACGGCAUUUCGAACUGUCAGGCUAGAGUAUGGUAGAGGAGUGUGGAAUUUCCUGUGUAGCGGUGAAAUGCGUAGAUAUAGGAAGGAACACCAGUGGCGAAGGCGGCACUCCGAGCCAAUACUGACACUGAGGUGCGAAAGCGUGGGGAGCAAACAGGAUUAGAUACCCCGUAGUCC